AUUGCACGCUGGCGGCAGGCCUAACACAUGCAAGUCGAACGAGUGGCGGCCGGGUGAGUAAUGUCUGGGAAACUGCCUGCUGUAGGGGGAUAACUACUGGUAACGGUAGCUAAUACCGCAUACCCUCGGAUGUGCCCAGAUGGGAUUAGCUAGUAGGUUGGGUAAAGGCUCACCUAGGCGACGAUCCCUAGCUGGUCUGAGAGGAUGACCAGCCACACGGGAACGGAGACACGGUCCGGACUACUACGGUAGGCAGCGGAGGGGAAAAUUGCACAAUGGGCUGGAGGCUGGUGCAGCCAUGCCACGUGGAGGAAGAAAUCAUGCGUGUUGUAAUGGACAUUCACCGGUGAAGCGUUACCCGCAGAAUAAGCACCGGCUAACUCCGUGCCAGCAGCCGCGGUAAUAC
rnacentral:rRNA from 1 species